rnacentral:pre_miRNA from 10 species
CCGGCCCUCACCCAGUGGCAAGUUAUCUCGCUGGGGCCUCCAAAUGUUGCACCCAAGUGAGUUAGGGCGAAACGUCACACUUUGAGGCAAAUUCAGGAGUCCUGUAUUAG